UGCAACACAAAAUGAUCUUUCCCACUACUUAGAAUUACACUGCAUUUGCAAUACCUGCUGUAGCAAUUUCCCUUCUUUAUUUUAUUUUUUUAAACCAGAUCAUUCAGCCCUGGCCAAGAGAGUCUAUCCAGAUCCCUUUCUCAGAGACAGCUUGGGGGUUCCUCAGGGUCUUCCACUCAUGGACAAAGGUAUUUAGGUUAAAUAUGAUCAAAAGUACAAUAUUGUCAGUAUAAAUGAAGCACGGUAAAGCUGCAGUCUGAACUACACAUCUUGCAGAUGUAAGAAAAUGUUUGUUGUACUGACCUCAGCAAAUGUCACAUGUUCAUAAUAUUACUUUUUUUCCAGUAAAGAUAGAAAUUGCAACACAAAAUGAUCUUUCCCACUACUUAGAAUUACACUGCAUUUGCAAUACCUGCUGUAGCAAUUUCCCUUCUUUAUUUUAUUUUUUUAAACCAGAUCAUUCAGCCCUGGCCAAGAGAGUCUAUCCAGAUCCCUUUCUCAGAGACAGCUUGGGGGUUCCUCAGGGUCUUCCACUCAUGGACAGAGGGGCAUUACCAGAGGAGGUCAUCUCACCUAUCUAGACUCUUCUCAUCCUCAAGCUCCAGUGUGUUCUCGGCUGUGGCAGGCUGAACCAUGAUCACACAUGUUGGUGGGACUGCGGAAGAUAGACUGAGGAGGUCUGGUUGGAUGUCCGCAGUGUCAUCAUCCUUUGGAGUAGUGGCAGGAGGCUCACAGUCAGAGUCCUCACUUACAGAAAGUAAGGUUAAAUGCCCUGAUGUCUUUUUGACAAGAGCCUGCAAACUAAACACACACACACACAAAGAGUCAGGUUAAUAUUACUGUUUUUGUCAUGACUUCUUAAAUAAAUAGUUCCCUUCUACCUUAGGGAUGGGUUUUAUGACCAGAAGCAACAAACUCACCUGGGACCACUCUCCACAUCGCUGUCCAUCUGCAGGUUGUUCCCUGGUGCUGCAGGACAAACCUUCCUCAGCCUGGAUGGUGGCUGUGUGAAUGUUGAACUGAUUCUUUCAAUUUCGGUUUUGUCGGUCUUCUUCGGUGAGAUGUCCUUUUUGAACCAGGCCUUGUACUCUGGAAAGCAUUUAGCAGUUGCAGGUGCAGGUUCAUUGCUACCAAAAGACAAAUUCUCGCUGUUAGAUUGAUGUCCAAGAAACAAGAUUUAGCACCACAAUUAAGCAAAGUAUGCAAGUCUGUUAAAAUUAU
rnacentral:lncRNA from 15 species